GUUUCUUGGGGGGACCUUCUCGCCCACACUUUUCUCCCCCUUCCAGAUUAAAGAAAACAUCAGGAAAAUGACAAUCCGAGUGGUAUUUACUACUCUGAAGAGCUCAGGUUGCUUUUGCAAAGGGGGGAAAUGGGAGCUUCCAGAGCUUUUGCUCCCAUAAAACUGCUGAAGCAAGGUCAAACAUUCCCGGGAGGAGAUAAAUGUUAAUAAAUGGCGGCCAUUGUCCCACAUUUCUGAAUUCAUGCAGUACAUCUAUAUGGCAUCGCUCUCUCCUUGGUUAAAUUCAGUGAGUAAUUUCUGACUGCAUUCAUCGCCGGAGGAUAUAUUUCUUUAGCGUUAAAUAUCACUAGCUGUGCAUUUUGAUAUGAGGAAUGCAGGCUGCAAUUUAUAACCGACAAGAGCGUCCCUGAUUCUCCAGCCGCGCCGAAAAGCAGGACACGGGGCGUGCACGCCGGCUCCAGAGUGUUUAUUUUAGAAUUCAUUUGUGAGGAAACAUCAUUUCAAAUUCCACUGCCAGGUUCUAAUCCGAGAUUGCUCGUUCCUUCGGCAGACAUCCAGGGGCCUCGCGAUGGCACUAGGGGCUCUGACGGUGCCCUGCCCUCCACCCUGGCUUUCCUCGUGCCCCCUGGGUGCACUCCCUUCCCUGAGCCGAGCGGAGCCUUGGGCGGUGAUUGGAUGGAGACGAGGAGGCUGUGCAGCAUCCCCACAAAGCUUCUCGGGGCCCCUCCUCCAAACCCCUUGUGGACGCGGACAUCUCCCCUGCUCGCCGGUGGCCUGCAGCCGUCUCCUCGUUCUUGCUCUUCCAAGUGAGAAGCAUGGCCUUCUCGAAGAGCAGCAUCCGGUCCAGUGUGUGCCCAGAAUCCUCUGUGGUCCUUCAGGCAAGGAUGAAGGCAGUGGAUGCCCAGCAGGGCUCUCUGCAGGGGGAGGGCCGAAGGUGGGGCUGGGAGGCUGUGGGUUGGGGUGGGGGUGGGGGGGUCUCUGCAAAGGCCGCCUGGCGGGCCUAACCCCACUGUGCAGGCCCUCCUGUGUAGGAAGGUCACCAUGCCUCUGA
rnacentral:lncRNA from 1 species